AAGUGCUGUUUAUUUAAAAGAACAAAAAAGAGUGGAGGCCCCCUAGGGACGGAUGAAACAAAACUAGCAGUGCAAGUCUGCCUCUAGCUCAGCAUAAAAGCUUGUUGCCCCACUGGGCCAUCUUGUUGUUGAUAGGCAUCUUCAAGAAGCAGUCAGACUGCAUGUAGGCAGCAAUUUUCUCCAAAGCCUCAACGGCACAUGAAAGCCUUAAGAUGUGGGAACUCAUCCAGGCACUUGGGCUCAAACAUGCACUUUUGAUCCAGGACGUCAUAGAUGGGAAAAUCCACAAAGGUGAGCUUUCCCCUGCAAACCAUGAGAAUUUCUCCCAGGAACAUGGAGAAUUGUUUCAGUUGUUCAGGUAGCUGUUCCAAGUACUGAGGUUUCAGUUUUUCAUGGUCAGAGUUGUAACAGCACUGUAUCAGUUGUGUGCAGAAACUGGUUGCUUGGUUCUCUAAAAUGUCCACUUGAAUCUUUUCAGUCUUACCACACAUGUGCUUGCCAGCAGUGUAGCACAAGAUGGCAUUGCUCUGGGUGACCUUGUUCUUCCCGUCCAUGAAGUUGGGCAGAUUAGGAAAGUCCAGGUCUAGCUUGAAUAUCACAUCCAGCCAUUGGCUUCAAUCAUAGGAGUUUCCUGGCAUGUGUACCAUUUCUCCUCAUAGGACAUAUCCGUGAACUACAGGAGCAGGCAAAUGGUGUGUGCCAGCCCGCAAAUAUUCCACUAACCCAGAACCAUAGAUGAGUUGCACGAUAUGAUGA
rnacentral:lncRNA from 1 species